AAGAAGAUACUUACACCAUGCCCUCAAAAAGCUAUGGAAUAGAUGAAGCCAGGGAUUAUGAGAUUCAAAGAGAAAGAAUAGAACUUGGACGAUGUAUUGGAGAAGGCCAAUUUGGAGAUGUACAUCAAGGCAUUUAUAUGAGUCCAGAGAAUCCAGCAUUGGCGGUUGCAAUUAAAACAUGUAAAAACUGUACUUCGGACAGCGUGAGAGAGAAAUUUCUUCAAGAAGCCUGCCUUAAGCUCCCUGGGGAUAAGGACCAUGUUUGUUUCGCUCACCACUCCAUACUCAGUGUCCUGCACAGUACUUGACACCUAGAGAACACCUGGUAGAUGUUUGUCAUUCUGGUGUCCUUCAUUAUGUGUGCAUCAAAUGAAUGCCUUCUGUUUUCCAUUGUAAUAAAUACCACCCAACAGUCCAAUAAAUUAAUAAUUCAUAGAG
rnacentral:sRNA from 1 species